CCUACGGGUGGCAGCAGUGAGGAAUAUUGGUCAAUGGGCGCGAGCCUGAACCAGCCAAGUAGCGUGAAGGAUGACUGCCCUACGGGUUGUAAACUUCUUUUAUAAAGGAAUAAAGUGCGGCACGUGUGCCUUUCUGUAUGUACUUUAUGAAUAAGGAUCGGCUAACUCCGUGCCAGCAGCCGCGGUAAUACGGCGGAUCCGAGCGUUAUCCGGAUUUCUGGGGUUUAAAGGGAGCGUAGAUGGGUGUUUAAGUCAGUUGUGAAAGGUUGCGGCUCAAACGUAGAAUUGCAAUUGAUACUGGCAGUCUUGAGUACAGUUGAGGUAGGCGGAAUUCGUGGUGUAGCGGUGAAAUGCUUAGAUAUCACGAAGAACUCCGAUUGCGAAGGCAGCUUACUAAACUGCCACUGACAUUGAUGCUCGAAAGUGUGGGUAUCAAACAGGAUUAGAUACCCCAGUAGUC
rnacentral:rRNA from 1 species